ACAAGCGGUGGAGCAUGUGGUUUAAUUCGACGCAACGCGAAGAACCUUACCUGGGCUUGACAUCCCGAUCGCACCUUAUGGAAACAUAGGGGUCAGUUUGGCUGGAUCGGUGACAGGUGCUGCAUGGCUGUCGUCAGCUCGUGUCGUGAGAUGUUGGGUUAAGUCCCGCAACGAGCGCAACCCUUGUCCUUAGUUGCCAGCAUUCAGUUGGGCACUCUAAGGAGACUGCCGGUGUCAAACCGGAGGAAGUGGGGAUGACGUCAAGUCCUCAUGGCCCUUAUGUCCAGGGCUACACACGUGCUACAAUGGCCGGUACAGACGGACGCAAAGCCGCGAGGUGGAGCAAAUCCUAAAAAGCCGGUCUCAGUUCGGAUUGCAGGCUGCAAUUCGCCUGCAUGAAGUCGGAAUCGCUAGUAAUCGCAGGUCAGCAUACUGCGGUGAAUACGUUCCCGGGCCUU
rnacentral:rRNA from 1 species